rnacentral:rRNA from 1 species
GGUUAAGCGACUAAGCGUACACGGUGGAUGCCCUGGCAGUCAGAGGCGAUGAAGGACGUGCUAAUCUGCGAUAAGCGUCGGUGAGGUGAUAUGAACCGUUAUAACCGGCGAUUUCCGAAUGGGGAAACCCAGUGUGUUUCGACACACUAUCAUUAACUGAAUCCAUAGGUUAAUGAGGCGAACCGGGGGAACUGAAACAUCUAAGUACCCCGAGGAAAAGAAAUCAACCGAGAUUCCCCCAGUAGCGGCGAGCGAACGGGGAGGAGCCCAGAGCCUGAAUCAGUGUGUGUGUUAGUGGAAGCGUCUGGAAAGGCGUGCGAUACAGGGUGACAGCCCCGUACACAAAAAUGCACAUGCUGUGAGCUCGAUGAGUAGGGCGGGACACGUGGUAUCCUGUCUGAAUAUGGGGGGACCAUCCUCCAAGGCUAAAUACUCCUGACUGACCGAUAGUGAACCAGUACCGUGAGGGAAAGGCGAAAAGAACCCCGGCGAGGGGAGUGAAAAAGAACCUGAAACCGUGUACGUACAAGCAGUGGGAGCCUCUUAAUGGGGUGACUGCGUACCUUUUGUAUAAUGGGUCAGCGACUUAUAUUCUGUAGCAAGGUUAACCGAAUAGGGGAGCCGAAGGGAAACCGAGUCUUAACUGGGCGUUAAGUUGCAGGGUAUAGACCCGAAACCCGGUGAUCUAGCCAUGGGCAGGUUGAAGGUUGGGUAACACUAACUGGAGGACCGAACCGACUAAUGUUGAAAAAUUAGCGGAUGACUUGUGGCUGGGGGUGAAAGGCCAAUCAAACCGGGAGAUAGCUGGUUCUCCCCGAAAGCUAUUUAGGUAGCGCCUCGUGAAUUCAUCUCCGGGGGUAGAGCACUGUUUCGGCAAGGGGGUCAUCCCGACUUACCAACCCGAUGCAAACUGCGAAUACCGGAGAAUGUUAUCACGGGAGACACACGGCGGGUGCUAACGUCCGUCGUGAAGAGGGAAACAACCCAGACCGCCAGCUAAGGUCCCAAAGUCAUGGUUAAGUGGGAAACGAUGUGGGAAGGCCCAGACAGCCAGGAUGUUGGCUUAGAAGCAGCCAUCAUUUAAAGAAAGCGUAAUAGCUCACUGGUCGAGUCGGCCUGCGCGGAAGAUGUAACGGGGCUAAACCAUGCACCGAAGCUGCGGCAGCGACACUAUGUGUUGUUGGGUAGGGGAGCGUUCUGUAAGCCUGUGAAGGUGUGCUGUGAGGCAUGCUGGAGGUAUCAGAAGUGCGAAUGCUGACAUAAGUAACGAUAAAGCGGGUGAAAAGCCCGCUCGCCGGAAGACCAAGGGUUCCUGUCCAACGUUAAUCGGGGCAGGGUGAGUCGACCCCUAAGGCGAGGCCGAAAGGCGUAGUCGAUGGGAAACAGGUUAAUAUUCCUGUACUUGGUGUUACUGCGAAGGGGGGACGGAGAAGGCUAUGUUGGCCGGGCGACGGUUGUCCCGGUUUAAGCGUGUAGGCUGGUUUUCCAGGCAAAUCCGGAAAACCAAGGCUGAGGCGUGAUGACGAGGCACUACGGUGCUGAAGUGACAAAUGCCCUGCUUCCAGGAAAAGCCUCUAAGCAUCAGGUAACAUUAAAUCGUACCCCAAACCGACACAGGUGGUCAGGUAGAGAAUACCAAGGCGCUUGAGAGAACUCGGGUGAAGGAACUAGGCAAAAUGGUGCCGUAACUUCGGGAGAAGGCACGCUGAUAUGUAGGUGAAGCGACUUGCUCGUGGAGCUGAAAUCAGUCGAAGAUACCAGCUGGCUGCAACUGUUUAUUAAAAACACAGCACUGUGCAAACACGAAAGUGGACGUAUACGGUGUGACGCCUGCCCGGUGCCGGAAGGUUAAUUGAUGGGGUUAGCGGUAACGCGAAGCUCUUGAUCGAAGCCCCGGUAAACGGCGGCCGUAACUAUAACGGUCCUAAGGUAGCGAAAUUCCUUGUCGGGUAAGUUCCGACCUGCACGAAUGGCGUAAUGAUGGCCAGGCUGUCUCCACCCGAGACUCAGUGAAAUUGAACUCGCUGUGAAGAUGCAGUGUACCCGCGGCAAGACGGAAAGACCCCGUGAACCUUUACUAUAGCUUGACACUGAACAUUGAGCCUUGAUGUGUAGGAUAGGUGGGAGGCUUUGAAGUGUGGACGCCAGUCUGCAUGGAGCCGGCCUUGAAAUACCACCCUUUAAUGUUUGAUGUUCUAACGUUGGCCCGUAAUCCGGGUUGCGGACAGUGUCUGGUGGGUAGUUUGACUGGGGCGGUCUCCUCCUAAAGAGUAACGGAGGAGCACGAAGGUUGGCUAAUCCUGGUCGGACAUCAGGAGGUUAGUGCAAUGGCAUAAGCCAGCUUGACUGCGAGCGUGACGGCGCGAGCAGGUGCGAAAGCAGGUCAUAGUGAUCCGGUGGUUCUGAAUGGAAGGGCCAUCGCUCAACGGAUAAAAGGUACUCCGGGGAUAACAGGCUGAUACCGCCCAAGAGUUCAUAUCGACGGCGGUGUUUGGCACCUCGAUGUCGGCUCAUCACAUCCUGGGGCUGAAGUAGGUCCCAAGGGUAUGGCUGUUCGCCAUUUAAAGUGGUACGCGAGCUGGGUUUAGAACGUCGUGAGACAGUUCGGUCCCUAUCUGCCGUGGGCGCUGGAGAACUGAGGGGGGCUGCUCCUAGUACGAGAGGACCGGAGUGGACGCAUCACUGGUGUUCGGGUUGUCAUGCCAAUGGCACUGCCCGGUAGCUAAAUGCGGAAGAGAUAAGUGCUGAAAGCAUCUAAGCACGAAACUUGCCCCGAGAUGAGUUCUCCCUGACUCCUUGAGGGUCCUGAAGGAACGUUGAAGACGACGACGUUGAUAGGCCGGGUGUGUAAGCGCAGCGAUGCGUUGAGCUAACCGGUACUAAUGAACCGUGAGGCUUAACCUU